AGAGUUUGAUCCUGGCUCAGAUUGAACGCUGGCGGUAUGCUUAACACAUGCAAGUCGAACGGCAGCACAGAUAGUAGCAAUACUAUUGGGUGGCGAGUGGCGGACGGGUGAGUAACACGUAGGAAUCUGCCCAAAAGAGGGGGAUAACCCGAGGAAACUCGGGCUAAUACCGCAUAAUUUCUGAGGAAUAAAGCUGGGGCAACCUGGCGCUUUUGGAGGAGCCUGCGUCCGAUUAGCUAGUUGGUGAGGUAAAAGCUCACCAAGGCGACGAUUGGUAGCUGGUCUGAGAGGAUGAUCAGCCACACUGGGACUGAGACACGGCCCAGACUCCUACGGGAGGCAGCAGUGGGGAAUAUUGGACAAUGGGGGCAACCCUGAUCCAGCAAUACCGCGUGUGUGAAGAAGGCCUUAGGGUUGUAAAGCACUUUAGGCGGGGAAGAAGGUUAUUAGUUUAAGAGAUGAGUAACUUGACGGUACCCGCAGAAUAAGCACCGGCUAACUCUGUGCCAGCAGCCGCGGUAAUACAGAGGGUGCAAGCGUUAAUCGGAUUUACUGGGCGUAAAGGGCGCGUAGGUGGUUACGUAAGUGAGAUGUGAAAGCCCCGGGCUUAACCUGGGAACUGCAUCUUAUACUGCGUAGCUGGAGUGAAGUAGAGGAUAGUGGAAUUUCCGGUGUAGCGGUGAAAUGCGUAGAUAUCGGAAGGAACACCAGUGGCGAAGGCGGCUAUCUGGACUUACACUGACACUGAGGCGCGAAAGCGUGGGUAGCAAACAGGAUUAGAUACCCUAGUAGUCC
rnacentral:rRNA from 1 species